ACCCAAAAAUGACUGUGCUUCUGGGU
rnacentral:piRNA from 1 species